UGUAGCUGUAAACAGUUUUAAUGAAUGUGUGUGUCUGUCUGCGUUUCAGUCUGUCUGUGCUUUUGUGUGUGCGCGUGUGUUUUUGACUUUGUCUGUGUGUCUCUGUCUGUUUGGACAGGGCCUGGAGGUUUUUGCGUUCAGCGGAUGGAUGCCCUGUCCAGCUGUAAACAAUGCCAGAGAACAUCCUUUCAGUGACCAGAAUGUACUUGACUUCCUGAGUACUUAUGAGCUUUAAAAUACUGAAAGAUGCUGAGGAUACAGUGAAGGGAAAAUGAACAGACAGAUGUGUCUCCAUAGAAAAAAGAGGGGCCGGAAAUGUGCAGUGAGCAGAUAUAAUAUCUUAACAAGAAAGUUACUAUCACCGGAUGUCCACUGUGUGUUCAAUUGAGAUUAAAACAGAAACUAGGUAUGUAUUCAACCCCAUGAUUACUCCAUAUAACUUGCAUGUGGUAUAACCUGUAUGCAUGUGUUUGGACAAUGAUUUGGUUCUAUCAGAUUCCACGCAGAUUCUCAAACUAAUUUGUGAUUAGUUGACCGUGUGUUAGUGUGUUUAUUUUAGGCAUUUGUAAAACCACUUUAAAACAGGAAUCUUUUGUGUGUGUGUGUGUGUGUGUUAAUCCCUGUUUGGUAGACACACGUACCUUACAGUCGUCUCCCUAACAAUGAUGCUCACACGUCAUUUGAGAGAAAACAGAAGCAUGCACAGCUAUUUGGAGGCAGUUUCACAUUCGCACUUUAAGUGAACAUAUUUCAUUGGCAGUGUUAGUCAAUGUAAAUGUUAUUGUGUGUCACGAUGUAUUACUUCAAUACGAUACUUGCUGUGUACAAGCAGGUCUCCAGAAACUUGAGGAAAGUUGUUGGAGAAAUUGUAUUAUUAUUCCUGUUAACACAGAAAGCUUUUCCAAGGGGGCGCAAACUGUCGCUGUCCGUUACUUUGUGGUGCUGAAAUGUCGCUUGUUCGAGUAGAGACUUUGGCAAGACACAAAUGUAUAUACAUAGGCCUAAAUACAAACAUACAAAAUCAUUAUUAAUAGUAAUACUGUUUCUAUUUCAAAUGUAGAUCUGAAAUAGGAAUUGUAUAAUUUGAUAAAACACAUAUUUAGUUAAAGUCAAUGCAA